UUUUGACCUCGGAUCAGGUAGGGAUACCCGCUGAACUUAAGCAUAUCAAUAAGCGGAGGAAAAGAAACCAACAGGGAUUGCCCUAGUAACGGCGAGUGAAGCGGCAACAGCUCAAAUUUGAAAUCUGGCUCUUUUAGAGUCCGAGUUGUAAUUUGCAGAGGGCGCUUUGGCUUUGGCAGCGGUCCAAGUUCCUUGGAACAGGACGUCACAGAGGGUGAGAAUCCCGUACGUGGUCGCUGGCUAUUGCCGUGUAAAGCCCCUUCGACGAGUCGAGUUGUUUGGGAAUGCAGCUCUAAAUGGGAGGUACAUUUCUUCUAAAGCUAAAUAUUGGCCAGAGACCGAUAGCGCACAAGUAGAGUGAUCGAAAGAUGAAAAGCACUUUGGAAAGAGAGUCAAACAGCACGUGAAAUUGUUGAAAGGGAAGCGCUUGCAGCCAGACUUGCUUACAGUUGCUCAUCCGGGUUUUUACCCGGUGCACUCUUCUGUAGGCAGGCCAGCAUCAGUUUGGGCGGUAGGAUAAAGGUCUCUGUCACGUACCUCCUUUCGGGGAGGCCUUAUAGGGGAGACGACAUACUACCAGCCUGGACUGAGGUCCGCGCAUCUGCUAGGAUGCUGGCGUAAUGGCUGUNA
rnacentral:rRNA from 1 species